AGCGGCGGACGGGUGAGUAACGCGUGGGUGACCUGCCCCAUACCGGGGGAGUAACAGCUGGAAACGGCUGCUAAUACCGCAUAAGCGCACAGAGCUGCAUGGCUCGGUGUGAAAAACUCCGGUGGUAUGGGAUGGGCCCGCGUCUGAUUAGGCAGUUGGCGGGGUAACGGCCCACCAAACCGACGAUCAGUAGCCGGCCUGAGAGGGCGACCGGCCACAUUGGGACUGAGACACGGCCCAAACUCCUACGGGAGGCAGCAUG
rnacentral:rRNA from 1 species